rnacentral:rRNA from 1 species
GUGGGGAAUAUUGCACAAUGGGGGAAACCCUGAUGCAGCAAUGCCGCGUGAAGGAUGAAGGUUUUCGGAUUGUAAACUUCUUUUGUACGGGACGAAACAAAUGACGGUACCGUAAGAAUAAGCCACGGCUAACUACGUGCCAGCAGCAGCGGUAAUACGUAGGUGGCAAGCGUUAUCCGGAUUUACUGGGUGUAAAGGGCGAGUAGGCGGGAUUGCAAGUCAGAUGUGAAAACUAAGGGAUCAACCCAUAGGAUGUAUUUGAAACUGUAGUUCUUGAGUGAUGGAGAGGCAGGCGGAAUUCCCGGUGUAGCGGUGGAAUGCGUAGAUAUCGGGAGGAACACCAGUGGCGAAGGCGGCCUGCUGGACAUUAACUGACGCUGAGGCGCGAAAGCGUGGGGAGCAAACAGGAUUAGAAACCCGGGUAGUCC